UGGAACGCUAUGACGAGGAAUAGUAUACAAGGCAAUGGCCUAAGAGAGCGAUACCCCCGGCUGAAAGGUGUUGCGGCCCGCUUGUUUGUAGAACCUGCCCUCAAGUCGCGGUUAGGAAAACCUAAACGUUUCCCGCGUUACGGGGAUUUGAGCUGAGCACAAUUUGUGCUAAUGAGGGUGGUACCGCGAACCUUUUCGUCCUUUAC
rnacentral:ncRNA from 1 species